UCCCGGAUAGCUCAGUUGGUAAAGAAUCUGCCUGCAAUGCAGGUGAUCCUGGUUCAAUUCCUGGGUCAGGAA
rnacentral:tRNA from 1 species